rnacentral:lncRNA from 1 species
CCCUAGGGUCGACCCAAUGGCAUACUUGAAAUUAUUGCCAACUUCCCACGGGUUCUUUUCUUUUUAACUUGAAGCCCGUUCAUAAGCCGACUCAUUCUUCUUCUUCGUCUUCCUCCCUCCAAGACUCGUCGUCCUCAUCAUUCGUUCUCUCCAAAACCAAGGAUUUAGCCCAAGAUCAUUCUCCCUUCACAUCUCCACCUCAAAUCACCCCUUGGGAAAGGAACUUCUCUCAUCUUUCUCCCUUGAUUGAAGCGGUUGAAGCGUGCCCUAGCUUCCACCGUUCUUCUCAAAAUCAUCAUUUUUCUCCGCCAAAAUCUCUUUCCAUCCUCUAGUAACCUUCCUUCUCCUCACCCAUUUGAUCUUCCGAGUCUCUCUGCCUGCUCUUGUAGUGAGAAUGGCCCCAAAGAUGAAACUCCCUCAAAGAAGGAAAUCAGUCCGUGUGCUGGAAGAAGGCAUCCGCAGAAAAAGGCAAGCUUCUCAGACCACCUCUGCUCCCUUUCCGGCUUCAGUGUCUGCACCAGGUCCCUCUCAGUCUCCCCUUAGCCCUAGCAAAAUCCCUCUCUCUGACAGAAAGGUAGAAACCGGCA